rnacentral:rRNA from 1 species
GAUGAACGCUGGCGGCGUGCCUAAUACAUGCAAGUCGAGCGAACAGACGAGGAGCUUGCUCCUCUGACGUUAGCGGCGGACGGGUGAGUAACACGUGGAUAACCUACCUAUAAGACUGGGAUAACUUCGGGAAACCGGAGCUAAUACCGGAUAAUAUAUUGAACCGCAUGGUUCAAUAGUGAAAGACGGUUUUGCUGUCACUUAUAGAUGGAUCCGCGCCGCAUUAGCUAGUUGGUAAGGUAACGGCUUACCAAGGCGACGAUGCGUAUCCGACCUGAGAGGGUGAUCGGACACCCUGGAACUGAGACACGGUCCAGACUCCUACGGGAGGAAGCAGUAGGGAAUCUUCCGCAAUGGGCGAAAGCCUGACGGAGCAACGCCGCGUGAGUGAUGAAGGUCUUCGGAUCGUAAAACUCUGUUAUUAGGGAAGAACAAAUGUGUAAGUACCUAUGCACGUCUUGACGGUACCUAAUCAGAAAGCCACGGCUAACUACGUG